rnacentral:lncRNA from 1 species
UAAUCUUUGGCAGAGGCCAGAAACAGGAGUAGGCUUCUUGGCUGCCUGUCCUGAUAAACAAUCUGUUCUUGGGAAGGUUCCUAAUGUCCAGGGCGCGCCACUGGGCCACGGAAGGCUUAAAGGAGAAGAAGAGAGCAAAACCGGUGCGCGCCACACGGUUUCGGACCAUCUACAAAGCUGUGCUCUAGGCGCGACAGCCCAUCCCCCAGCGCGUGGGCGCAGAACCUGCUCUCGAUCAAGGGAAACCAAGGCAGUAGCAGAGAAUGCCGAGUUGGGGCGGCCGCUGUAGAGCUUAUUAUAAAGCAUAACGGGGGAAGCCAGACUGUGGGCAAAACAAAAGGAGAGACUAUUUGGCGGAGUCGGAGGUCGCUGGGAUCGAAACUCCCGAGGCAAGAAAGCUGGCUGUGGAUUUUGCAGCGGGGAUAUUGUGUGAGCAACCAGGCAGAAAUUGGCAAUAUGUAAAAGUGGGAGGGGGGAGAGAGUGGGCGGAAAGGCAAAUCAGUGCCUAGAAGGCUGCGCACGGCUGGGAAAUGUCACCAAGGAGAGCGCAGUGGCACCGAAUAAAAGAUGAAUGAUAGACUACCUUUUGGAAAACGAAUAUAAAAAUAGUAUUGAAGGUGAGAAGUCCGCCUCUUCGCUGAAAAGCGGAUCCAUUCCGCACUGCUUGCCUUCAAGCCCCGACAUCCAGGCAGCUCUAAUCUCCCUUGUAUCCAAGAAGUCAGGGCCAGGCUCGCUUUCCUUCGGGUUUAAUUACACGAAAAUGCUGAACAAAAACCCUGUAAUUACACCCUUAGUCCCCGCCACUCAGGCCCUGCGCACUUCCUGCCUAGUUUUGUUUUUUUGAUUUUUGUUUUGUUUUGGUUUUUUGUUCUCUCUUUUUUUAAUUUUUUUAAAAAGAGGGGUCAUUGCCUCUUUCUUUGCAAAUUGGCCAAAACAAAAAAACCUAAAGGCACUAAAUAAAUCUUUAACAC